rnacentral:rRNA from 2 species
GCAGUCGAACGCAAUCUUUGACUAAUGAGUGCUUGCACUCAGCGGUCAAAGUGCGAGUGGCGAACGGGUGAGUAACACGUGGGCAAUCUGCCCAAAAGUGGGGGAUAACACUUGGAAACAGGUGCUAAUACCGCAUCAACCGGCUGACCGCAUGGUCGGCCGGGCAAAGACGGCGUCAGCUGUCGCUUUUGGAUGAGCCCGCGGCGUAUUAACUAGUUGGUAAGGUAACGGCUUACCAAGGUGAUGAUACGUAGCCGAACUGAGAGGUUGAUCGGCCACAUUGGGACUGAGACACGGCCCAAACUCCUACGGGAGGCAGCAGUAGGGAAUCUUCCACAAUGGACGCAAGUCUGAUGGAGCAACGCCGCGUGUAUGAAGAAGGUCUUCGGAUCGUAAAAUACUGUUGUCAGAGAAGAACACGUGAUAGAGUAACUGCUAUGACGCUGACGGUAUCUGACCAGCAAGUCACGGCUAACUACGUGCCAGCAGCCGCGGUAAUACGUAGGUGGCAAGCGUUGUCCGGAUUUAUUGGGCGUAAAGGGAACGCAGGCGGUCUUUUAAGUCUGAUGUGAAAGCCUUCGGCUUAACCGGAGAAGUGCAUUGGAAACUGGAAGACUUGAGUGCAGAAGAGGAGAGUGGAACUCCAUGUGUAGCGGUGAAAUGCG